GGGCUGAGAUCCGGGCUCCCGCGUGCCAAAGCCCACCCGGCACCCCACAGUCGUAUUCUCAUCCCCAUUCCUCGCCGCUCUCCCGCGCCUCCGCCGCCGCCGCCAAGGAUGGGGAGGGUGCCGGCGCAAGCCAUGCGCGCCGCCAAGGUCCCCCGCCACGCCCUCGUCCCGAAGCCCUCCGCGGCGUCCACCCCGCCGCCCCCUCCCCCGCCACCACAGGGGCCUCGUCCCGCCGACGGUAAACCUCCCCACGGCAAGCCGCCCCGGAGAACCCCCAGGGGCCCCUCCGAGCACGCGGGGGCCCUGGCCCUGCCGGACCGGCCAGCGCCGCCGGCCGAGAAGAGGCCCAUCACCACGCCCGCGGAGCUCUCGGCGGCCAUCCGCGCCGCGGUGGACGCCGACGUGGACGCGGCCGCCUCGCUCGCGCUCAAGGCCGCGCCCACCAUCCCGCUCCCUGCGCAGUCGCUCGCCCUCAUCCUCCGCCGCCUCGCCGCGCAUCGCUCCGUCGCCGCGGCGCGGGACCUCCUCGCGGAGCUCCCGUACUCCGCCGACAACCCCGCGCCGCGCCCGGCGCUGCUGGCCCUCGCUGACGCCUGCUGCCGCCGCGGCGACCCGCGCGAGAUCGGGCAGCUCCUCCCGGUGCUCGCCGACCACGGCGUCCGCGCCGACGCCCACGUCUACAACGCCCUCAUGAAGGGGCACUGCGCCGACUCCGACACCGCGGGGCUCCUUGGCGUGCUCCGCCGGAUGAAGGACGACGGCGUGGACCCCGACCUCGUCACCUACAACACCCUCGUCUACGGCCUCGCGCGCGCCGGGCUCGUCGCCAAGGCCAGGACCUACCUGGACGCCAUGGCUGCCCAGGGCCUCUUCCCGGACGUCAUCACCUACACCUCGCUCAUGAACGGGAUGUGCGUCAAGGGCGACGCCCUUGGCGCGCUCAAGCUGCUUGAGGAAAUGCAGGCCAAUGGGUGCGAGCCCAAUGACCGGACGUACAACACGCUGCUCAUGGGGCUCUGCAGGAACAGGAAGCUGGACAAGGCCUUCGAGGUGUACAAGUCCAUUGUAGGGGCUGGGAUGAAGCUCGAGCCGCCGGCGUACGCGACGUUCAUCAGGGCAUUGUGUCGGGCGGGGAGGGUUCCAGAUGCAUAUGAGGUUUUUGAUUACGGGAUCGAGAGCAAGAGCUUUGCACAGGCGACCGCGUACAGUGAGCUCGAGAGCUCGCUCAAGUGGCUCCGCAAGAUGAAGGAGUAGGAUGAAGGCGCGAGGAAGGCUAAUAAGGCACCUGAUUCAAUGUAAAUUGUAAGGCAACGGGAGAAGCGUGUUUUUGUGGAGCAAGUUCAAGCGCAUCUUGAAGAAACAGUGACACAUUCAUCCUGCAGUGAGAUGUUGCUUACCUAUGACAACAAACCAUGUGAACCAUCCUUCCUUCUCCAUGAUAACCAUCACCAUUAUACAGAAGAUCAUGGUUUUAACCCUUGGGACGGGUGAGGAGUUGCGAUGCGGCACAAUAUCGCUUUCGCAACAUCGGACUGGAAGGGUUUUCAUCAUGAAACAGGAAAGAAGAACACACUGGACUGCUUUUGACCCCAGGAGGAUCAGAUUUGCUGUACCUAUGUGAAUGGACCAACCGGGAUCUUGAUUCCGGAAGCGGCUCGGGGAGAGGUGGAGGGUUGCUGCCUGUUUACGGAGUUGAGCAGAGGAUUCGUGGAAACAGAGCCACUGUGUUGCAUAAAAUCGUUCAUUUUUUGGGUGUGUGACAGAUUUUGGUGGACUGGGAAUCGGAUUUCUCAUGCUGACGGUCGUUUUUUUUAAA